rnacentral:rRNA from 1 species
GGUGAACGCUGGCGGCGUGCCUAAUACAUGCAAGUCGAGCGAACAGACGAGGAGCUUGCUCCUCUGACGUUAGCGGCGGACGGGUGAGUAACACGUGGAUAACCUACCUAUAAGACUGGGAUAACUUCGGGAAACCGGAGCUAAUACCGGAUAAUAUAUUGAACCGCAUGGUUCAAUAGUGAAAGACGGUUUUGCUGUCACUUAUAGAUGGAUCCGCGCCGCAUUAGCUAGUUGGUAAGGUAACGGCUUACCAAGGCAACGAUGCGUAGCCGACCUGAGAGGGUGAUCGGCCACACUGGAACUGAGACACGGUCCAGACUCCUACGGGAGGCAGCAGUAGGGAAUCUUCCGCAAUGGGGGAAAGCCUGACGGAGCAACGCCGCGUGAGUGAUGAAGGUCUUCGGAUCGUAAAACUCUGUUAUUAGGGAAGAACAAAUGUGUAAGUAACUAUGCACGUCUUGACGGUACCUAAUCAGAAAGCCACGGCUAACUACGUG